rnacentral:rRNA from 1 species
AGAGUGAACGCUGGCGGCAGGCCUAAUACAUGCAAGUCGAACGGCAGCACGGCAGAGCUUGCUCUGUGGGUGGCGAGUGGCGGACGGGUGAGGAAUACAUGGGAAUCUGCCCAGUCGGUGGGGGAUAACGUAGGGAAACUUACGCUAAUACCGCAUGCGCCCUUCGGGGGAAAGCCGGGGACCUUCGGGCCGUGGCGCGAUUGGAUGAGCCCAUGUCGGAUUAGCUAGUUGGCGGGGUAACGGCCCACCAAGGCGACGAUCC